GGAAACAAACAGAGCAGAGGAAUCCCAGAGUCAAGUGCACGGAAUGUACUUUACGGGCCCAAAUACUUUUAGUGAACCUUGGCAUCUUCCAUACACUCCUCCGGAGCAAACUAAAGAGAUUCUGUACAUUGAAGUCUCUUUUGCAAAAUUUCUUUGGUAGAGUUGUGUGUAAACAUUGAAGUAGUUUUCAUUGUUAUAUCUUUUUUUACUUUGUUAACCAUUGAUCAUAGUUUCUGAUUGUCGGAGUACCCCUUUAUUGGAUCUGGCAGAUAUGAGAGUGCUUUCAAUUUGUUGUAGAUGAGAUUAAUGCUAUAGCCACUUAUUAAUGGUGGGAAGGAGCUAUGUAUAGCAUUCUCUCUGUUUUUGCUCAUAUCCUUGCAUGGUCAUGGCGGUAGUGGCAAUGGAGAUUGAAAUCGCAGCAUUUGCGAGAGUUUGUUCAAUCAGAAUAUGAUCAUGUUUGCUUUAGGUCUCAGAAUAUGAUCAUAUUUGCUUUAGGUCUUGCCGUUCACAUGCUCUCUAUGAAGGGAUUAAGGUUACUGCAACUUCUGAUUUAAUGCUCGCAUAUGUUGAUUUCUUCCUUCAUGGAGAUGAAAAGAGAAGUGAUCUUCCUCCACACUUACAUCAAAGAUUCCCAAUAUCAUUACCUUUUGGAGGCGACGGAACUUAAUUUGCAGGUUCCAGUUGCAACUAAGAUAACCAUGGAUCAGCUUAGGGAUUCUGCUCGUCUAAUGAUAGUUUCAGAUCUUGACAUAUGAUGGUGUAUGAUUUUACCCUGGUCUCAAUUCAUUAUCUCUGCUGCAAGGCUUUAAAUGAUGCCUUCCUUGUACGUUGAUCAUCAUGAUUCUGAUAACCUUUCUCUGCUCUGGUUUAAUGCCUUGGGUGAAGCUAAUUACUGUCAUGAGUCUCUGCUAGUUUUCUCAACCAGAAAAUUGCAUAUGCUGUAUCUGGAGUUGAGGUAAGAGAAACCAAUGUUACCACCAGAUAUAACUAUAAUUUGAGGGAACAGAGAUAACAUAUGGUAACUAAAUGGUGCCAGAUGAUGGCUGGGUUGAAGUUUUGAAUUAUAAAUGGGAUAGAAACAUAGUCACAGAGGAAACAUGCAAAUUUUCUGAACUUACUCUUGAGGUAUGAUUUUACAGAACAUGGAAACUGAUAAGUUGAUUAUUUUCUCUGAUUGGGUGGUGUGUUGAAGACUUAAAUGGAUGUAUAUAUUCAAAGUGAUUUCCAUCAAGAAAGUGGUUUGAGCAUAUGAUAUUUCUGAAUAAUCGAACUUUAUGUUGAAUGCAGUCAGAAACAGAAAAAGGCCACACAAGGCUAGCUUUUAUGUUGAUAAAGACAAAGCUCAGGUUUUGAUAAAAGGUGCUUUCAGAGAGACUGGAAAAAUGCGGGGUAAAAUAUAGCUCUUGCACCCAUUUUUUAUAGCAUCUGUUCUGGUUGAUCUUCACUGAAAAUUGUGCAUCUUCUGCUGAAGCAAGAGAAAUUCUAUUUCAUAUUUAAGCAUGCUGUCCUUUUUGUUGCAACAUUUGUAUUGUUACUUAAAUUUUGGGCAGUUGGAUGUCAAAAUAAUAUAUGGUAGAGGAAUAGACUUGGAUAUAUUACUACAAGGUGCUGGCAAAGGACAAGCUCUUGCAUUCCUGCUUAAGAAAUUAAAGACCGAGGGAACAUUACCAAGUAAUACACUUGUUUGUGGUGACUCUGGAAAUGAUGCCGAACUCUUUAGCAUCCCAGAUGUACACGAGGUUAGCAAUGCCCAAGAAGAAUUGCUGCGGUGGCAUGCUCAAAAUGUUGAAAGGUAAUCUUAAGAUUAUUCAUGCAACAGAGAGGUGUGCUGGUGGAAUUAUUGAAGCCAUUGGUCAUUUUAAGCUAGGUCCAAAUUCAUCUCCCAGAAAUAUUCAAGACUUUAAGGACUAUGAUCUGGAAAAUGUAAACCCUAACCAUGAAGUGGUGAAAUUUUACUUGUUCUAUGAGAAAUGGAGAGGUGCAGAAGUUGAGAAUUCGGAGAUGUAUGUGGCAAGUCCGAGAGCACAUUGUGAUGUCCAAACUCUUCUGUUCAUCUGUAUGGCUUAAGAAAAGUUGUUCAUGUUUACAGGACCAUUAAAGUUUAGUUCUUCUGCUAAAAUAUGCAGGCAGGAAAGAGAAAACGAUUCAUUUAUCCUUCUGUAUAUUGCAUGGAAGUUAGCGUAUCGAAUUUCAUAUUCAUGUUUUGCUUUUCAUGGUUUCUACUUUUCUUAGGGGUGAUGCAAGUGUUCUUAAUCCGUGUUGUUCUAGUUAGUGACUAUUUUAGUUAUGCCUUUUUCUUCCGGGGGACAGUAUCCAUCUGGUGUUUAUGUUCAUCCUUCAGGUACUGAACAAACUCUUAGCGAUUGCAUAAAUACAUUGAGAAGCCACUAUGGAGAUAAACAGGGAAAACAAUUCUGUGUUUGGGUGGAUAACGUAUUGCAUACAAAAAUUCGGUAGGACACAUGGCUAGUGAAGUUCAACAAGUGGGAAAUAUCCGGUGAGUGGCAAAGUUGCCUGACACCUGCUAUAUUAAAGCUCAAAGGGUCAGAGUGCUUCAGAUGGAUUUACUUGGACGCACGUGCAUCAUGCAUGGUAGGAAGGAUGUCUAGUAAAAAAUUAAUCACCUUUUCUCUUCUAGAUUUGUUGCAACAGCGUAACUAAAAGUUAUUUGCAUAAAGUUUCUUCUAUUAAAAUAAAUGUGUCAUAUGACUCUGUGAUUAUUUUAUCUUAAGUUUUGACAAUUUGUAAACCAUUAUGACUCACGGAUAUGGUUUGGUCCAUGAUGAAAUUUUAUUAUAUCAAAGAGUGCA